CUCACAGGUGCCCAAGUAAUGAGAUUUUACCACCCCUGGGGGUUUCUGUGACUGGGACCCCUGGUGAUAGGAUCUUCUGACCCAGAUUCCUGUAGUUAUAUCCCCAAAGCAGCUCUUGGGGGGGAAACUGUGGCAAGCUGGCAAGUAUAUAGAGGGGAAUGAGGGAUUGACUUCAUCUGGAGUAGUCAGCUAUGCCUUUUCUCACCUGAGCUGAGCCUAAGGGACCCAGAGGAAUCCCUCCAGGAAGAGUUAAAUGGGCUGUCCUUUGGGCUCCUAGAAGUGCCAGGUGCCCUGGAUCUACCACAACAAGCUGAAGGAGACUGGGAUUUCAUGGCAAGGUGCGUAUCCCCAAGCCUCACUGGGUGUUUAUGAGAUCUUGGAAUUGAAUCCUUGAAGAAUCCAUUAAAACUUCAAUUCCUUGUGCAGUCCGGUGAUUUUGGAGGCUGAGGCCUGGAGGAACAAACAAACAUUCUGAGACAAUCAGAACCAGCAGCGUUUUUUGCUGGUGGGACUGGGCCAUCAGAAGUGCUGAUCCCCUUGGGGCAGUGACAGCCUGCAUGAGCCUGAGGCAUUUUUAAUGUAGAUUGAAUGAAUGUUUUCGAAGCCUUUGAAUAGCCUCUGAGUUCCCCCUUUUCCCAUGUUAACAGGAGGCAAAAUCCUCCACUUCCCUCAGGGCAAGGGCUUCUGCUUGUGAUCCGCAGAGCCAGGAUGUCCAUGGAUUAUUUCUUGGGGUAAGGAAAAAGAUUGUCUGAAGUCUCUACAUGCAAGGGUGAAUUUCCAGACAGGAUUGACCCUCCUAGGGAAAUUUCAGUGGCAUCUAUGAAGCCUUUCACAUGCGGUUUCUGGCUGCCAAGAGAUGGGGCAGCCCCUAAGCUGUGGAAUCCUUGGCAUGAAGCUUCCAGAUAUUUGCAAGCCCAGCUG
rnacentral:lncRNA from 13 species